rnacentral:rRNA from 1 species
CACGAACGCUGGCGGCAUGCCUAACACAUGCAAGUCGAACGAGCCCUUCGGGUCUAGUGGCGCACGGGUGCGUAACGCGUGGGAACCUGCCCUUAGGUUCGGAAUAACUCCCCGAAAGGGGUGCUAAUACCGGAUAAUGUCUUCGGACCAAAGAUUUAUCGCCAUUGGAUGGGCCCGCGUUGGAUUAGCUAGUUGGUAGGGUAAAAGCCUCCCAAGGCGACGAUCCAUAGGUUGUUUGAGAGGAAGGUCAGCCACACUGGGACUGAGACACGGCCCAGACUCUUCCGGGAGGGAGGAAUGGGUAAUAUUGGACAAUGGGCGGAAGCCUGAUCCAGCAAUGCCGCGUGAGUGAUGAAGGCCUUAGGGUAGUAAAGCUCUUUUACCCGGGAUGAUAAUGACAGUACCGGGAGAAAAAGCCCCGGCUAACUCCGUG